GGAACCAGGACACAGUCGAAGGACAGACUCAGAGUCAAACUCUUGCCACUCCAACAGUUGUGGCUAUUCCUGAAGGCAGAGUUUCGACAAGAAGCGCUGGGGGUUUUUCUUUUGAAGAACUAGCAACUCUGAAACGAAACCAACCUCUUGAAUACCUAAAAUCUAUGCUAAGUAGCAUGGAAAUCUCAUCUGAGAAAAUCCUUAGCACUACUAUGGCGUCUGAUGACCAACCUUCGAGUACACCUG
rnacentral:lncRNA from 1 species